GACGAACGCUGGCGGCGUGCCUAAUACAUGCAAGUUGAGCGCUGAAGGUUGGUACUUGUACCAACUGGAUGAGCAGCGAACGGGUGAGUAACGCGUGGGGAAUCUGCCUUUGAGCGGGGGACAACAUUUGGAAACGAAUGCUAAUACCGCAUAAAAACUUUAAACACAAGUUUUAAGUUUGAAAGAUGCAAUUGCAUCACUCAAAGAUGAUCCCGCGUUGUAUUAGCUAGUUGGUGAGGUAAAGGCUCACCAAGGCGAUGAUACAUAGCCGACCUGAGAGGGUGAUCGGCCACAUUGGGACUGAGACACGGCCCAAACUCCUACGGGAGGCAGCAGUAGGGAAUCUUCGGCAAUGGACGAAAGUCUGACCGAGCAACGCCGCGUGAGUGAAGAAGGUUUUCGGAUCGUAAAACUCUGUUGGUAGAGAAGAACGUUGGUGAGAGUGGAAGCUCAUCAAGUGACGGUAACUACCCAGAAAGGGACGGCUAACUACGUG
rnacentral:rRNA from 1 species